AACCUGCCCUUCAGAGGGGGACAACAGUUGGAAACGACUGCUAAUACCGCAUACGAUCUAAUCUCGGCAUCGAGGAAAGAUGAAAGGUGGCCUCUAUUUAUAAGCUAUCACUGAAGGAGGGGAUUGCGUCUGAUUAGCUAGUUGGAGGGGUAACGGCCCACCAAGGCGAUGAUCAGUAGCCGGUCUGAGAGGAUGAACGGCCACAUUGGGACUGAGACACGGCCCAGACUCCUACGGGAGGCGGCAUG
rnacentral:rRNA from 1 species